CUUCAAGCGUUGUCACCUUGUAAUUUUUGCAUUUUAUUAUUAUCUCAUAACACUUGUUUAACCAGCUCCCAUCUAUCCUGUGGACUUUUAACAGUCUACAGUCUCAGGUCAACACAGCCCUGCCUUUUAGCACUGUCAGCAGCAGGAGCAGCAGCAAUACCUCAACAGUAACAUUGCACCCAUCAGAUUAAUGGGACAAACAUCAGGAUGAACCUCGUCUAUCCUAGGGGAGAGUUUUUAAGUCUCAGCCACAAUGAGUCAGCUCAGCUCUUCACUGUAAUCCAGAUCUGAUAACAACUCUCUGAACAGCUCUCCGGACUGGACAGCAAACUGUAAUUUUCUGGUUUACAAACUGAAUCAACUUCUGUGUGGGAAAAAACAUCAGACAAAAGGACAGAGAGUGAUAGUGUGGUUGUCUUUGGAAGUACAGGUGUUCAUGUUCUCAGUGAUUUCUGCCUUUGUGCAGAGACACACAUUCAUCAUGUCGCUCUCUGUGACAUUGUUGGUGCUGCUGAUGGUUUGCGGCACUCAGGCUUCACAUUUUUUAGGCACAGUCAUGACCUACUACCCAAAGGACACUUUUGCAGAUGGAUCUGUCACAGUGACCCUUCGGUAUAAGCUGAACUUCCAUCAAUGCACAGAGUUUGACACUUGGAGUUGCCUCAGUGGUGACUGUGGGACUGGAACCCACACACUAUAUGUGGUAAAACAGGAGAGCAGUGGAGACUGGUGUCAGAGAGAGGGAAUCAUGACUCGACAGGUUUCCAGCAACACUCCGUUUGAGCUUUGGUUGAAUAGUAAUGCAUGGAUAUCUAACGUCAAUGGCAUUUCAUCAUGGAGAGCUGUGACUCGGGUGGAACUGAGGAACCGCUCCGACACCGGCAAAGCCAACACAUCACCCCAGACCACCAUCCUACCAGUUGUGAGAGUUCCUUCAAACUGUCAGAGAGAUUUCAACCUGUUGAUGUUUGACCCUGAUGGAGACAAAGUUAAAUGCAGAUAUGGAAACUCCUCACUCUCAGAGUGUAACCCCUGCACUCCACCGUCUGUCCUCAGCCUUUCAUCGUCCUCUUGUACUCUGUCAUUCAGCCCCACCAGCAGCAGUAAUGAAGGUUCGUAUGUAGUACAGCUGGUGAUGGAGGACUUCCCCAGACAGACCAUCACUCUGACUCAAACCAACAGGACACAAACAACAAUAACUACCAACGAUGCCAUCAGCAAAAUACCGAUUCAAUUUGCUUUGAAAGUUGAUCCUGCAGUGCCAUCCUGCACAGAAGGACUCUUUCUGCCCAAGUUUCUUCCUCCAACACCAGCCAACGGAGCUCAGCUCUACAACAAUGUCAGUCAGACUCUGGAAAUUAACAUCACUGCACAGGCACUUAACUCCACGAUCUCUGAGCUGCUCUACAGCGGGCCGUACAAUUUAACCAGCAGUACAUCAGGACCAGGACAGUUCACCCUGAGAUGGACACCAUCUGAGAGAGAAGACGGACAAAGCCUCCCCAUCUGUUUUGUUGUCCAGGCAGUUUUCAAUGGAACCAAGUAUCACUCCGAGCUUCGAUGUGUCAUUGUGACUGUUGCAAACGGACCAAUAACAACCACACCAACUACUACACCUACAACAACUACCACCAAUACACCAAAUACUACACCUACAACAACUAUUACACCUACAACAACCACCACCAGUACACCAACUACUACACCUACAACAACUGCUACACCUAUAACAACAACUACCACCAGUACACCAACUACUACACCUACAACAACUACCACCAGUACACCAACUACUACACCUACAACAACUACUACCAGCACUUCAACUACUACACCUACAACAACUACUACACCUACAACAACUACUACUAGUACUUCAAGUAAAACUCUUCCUGCAUCAACUACACCCAGUGAACGAUCUUAUGUUACAGUUCUUAAAUUGAAGAUGACCUCUUUGGUGGACUUGUCUAAAAUUGAUAGAGAUACCUUCCUUUCACAGAUCAAAAAUUUGCUGAUAUCCAAAGGGCUGCCCCAACACAUGAUCGUCCGACUAAUAAGCAGCAAUGCACAGAUUGGUCCAACUGCAGCACCCUCUACUGGCAAAACAUGAACUGGCAGCUUAAGGAGCUUCUUCAUGGCAGCUGUUGAAUGCAGUUCAGUCUUCACUGUUCUUUAACACACAUUUUUAAUAAUUACAAUCACUUCUCAAGAGCAGCUUUUAAAAGCAACAUGUUACCCUGACUCUCCAGUGCUACACAGCAAAUCCAGCAUGUCAAAAUUAACACUGUCAGAUUUGAUUUCAACACUAUUAAAUUGUCUAUAUGGGUCCACACCAGAGAGUGUUAAUUUAACUCUUUUUGGAGAGUUGGUAAGUUAACUCUGAUUUAGUGUUAAACACCAAAUCUAUCUGGAGUUGAUAAUUUAACACUUACUAAUGCUAACUAGGUGUUAAGAGUUUAUAUAUUAACUCUCAAAGAGUAUUUUAGUUUAACUACAUAAGAGUUAUCUUCUAAUUAAUUCUAAAAAGUGGAAAUUCUACUGUUCUGAACUUCUAGAAAUUCCUUUGGAAAUAAACAUUAAAAAGAUGCAAUGGUUUUUGAAAAACAUUUAUUCUGAA
ensembl:lncRNA